rnacentral:misc_RNA from 1 species
GAUGAAGAACGCAGCGAAAUGCGAUAAGUAAUGUGAAUUGCAGAAUUCAGUGAAUCAUCGAAUCUUUGAACGCACAUUGCGCCCCCUGGUAUUCCGGGGGGCAUGCCUGUUCGAGCGUCAUUUCACCACUCAAGCCUCGCUUGGUAUUGGGCGACGCGGUCCGCCGCGCGCCUCAAAUCGACCGGCUGGGUCUUCCGUCCCCUCAGCGUUGUGGAAACUAUUCGCUAAAGGGUGCCGCGGGAGGUCACGCCGCAAAACAACCCCAUUUCUAAGGUUGACCUCGGAUCAGGUAGGGAUACCCGCUGAACUUAAGCAUAUCGAUAAGCGGAGGA